ACAGAGGUAAAUGAAUGGGGGGGUUCAAGAAUCCUCUAAAGAUGAUGACAACAUAUAUUCUUGAAAAACAUAAUUUAAAAGAGAGGUUAAAAAAAAUCUAUUACGAGAGAUAAAAGUGCAAAAUAGGUUUCUCAAAAGUUACCAGAGAUCCAUUUCAAAUUACAAUCGAAGGGUUUCUUGACCAAAAAAAUUAAAGAUCUAGAUCUUUACAGAUCUGAUGUUCUUACAAAAGAUUCAAUAAUUUCAAAGCUAAAUCAAUUUUUUAAAUAUCUUAAAGAGUCAAAAGUAGAGAUUUCAAAUCUCUGAUACCAUUGUAGGCGUUGAGUUUGUGACUCAAUAGUUUGUAACUUAAGAAACUAGAGUAAAAUAAACAAAGAAAAAUGUCAACAAUAACAAAAAUACAAAUAUUUUUGGGCCAAAAAGCAUCGAAAGUUCAACAACCACUUCUAACGCUUAAUCUCCCAUUUAACAUCCCAUAAAAUUAAGCUCGAAUUCACUAUGAAGCCCCAAAAAUAGGGAAAUGUUUGAUUACAAAACAUAAGGAUUUUCAAACCCUAUUCCUUUAAUCUCUCCUUUUAACCACAACAACUAUUGACAAAGAACAGUAUCGCCUUUGCUCUCCCUCUCACCAUCCAAUAUUUCACUUAAUAAUCACAAAGUAUCACUACACCAAAAAUUGCCAUUUGCAACAUAUAAAAGGCAACAUGCGGUAGUUGAAUGUUGCUAAAAGAGUCUUAUCACAAUAUUUUAUUAAGUGAAUGUUGUCAUUGGUUAAUAUAAUUGAGCUUUCACAAUAUUUUUUAAAUGGACGUUGCUAAUGUCGCAUUUCGCAACGUUUAUUGAAUGUUGCAAAAAGUUUUAUUUUUUUUCAGCGUUUAUUAAACGUUGCUAAAAGUUAAUUUUAUAAUAACGUUUACUGAAUGUUGCUAAAACUCACCUUUUCCAAUGUUUGUUGGCAGUUGCAAAAUUUUUUAUUUUUCACAACAGCCAACAAACGUUGCAAAAACAUUCAAAAGAUUUUACUUUUUGUAACACUCAGCAAACGUUGCAAAGAGGCUACUUUUCACAACAUCCAAUGAACUUUGCAAAAAAAAUCAUUUGAAUUUUUUAGCAACGUUAGCUACCCCCUUAGUUUAAAGAAAAAGAACCUCAAAUUUCAUUCCAAAAGUAACUCACGAGACAAGCAAGUUACAGCACAGGAAGUAGAAAACCCUAACCUCUCUUCCAUCUCUCUCUCUGCCCACAGUCCCACUUUACCAUUAAUCCAUAUCCCAUAUCAAUUUCCCAUUUUCUCCCAAAUCCCAUCAAUUUCAAACCAACAGAGAGCUGAGCAAACCCUUGAGUUCUUUCCAUUAUUUGCCCCUGCGUAUUUCCAUUCGAAGUGCGAAGUGGGUUCACUGGGUAGUGGCUAGUAGGUUCACUGGUCGUGCGAUUGCGAAGUGCGAGUCACGGAGUCGGGAUGUGCGAUUGUGAAAACUGCGAAGGCGAAGCCGUGUGCUGUCGAGUGCCGUCACUGUCACUGCCGUUGUGCAUGGGUCAGGGUGAGUUCACUGAUACUUCAUCUUCAUACUUGACAUUUGACAACUUGAAUUGUUUUUGUUGAAUGUUGAAUUCUAUUUGUUGGAAAUCCUUUUGUUCUCUGUUUUUUUGCGAAUUGCGAAGUGAAAUCAAAAUAUAUUUGUUGAAUUGUUGAAACUUAAAUGUUGAAUUGUUGAUUUGUUGCACUUGUUUGUUGCGAGUUGAGAGUUGCCUGCUUAAUGUAUUUUGGAUUUGGUACGUAGAAUUUAUUUACAAUUGAUAAUGUUAAAAGUCCGUAAAUGUGAGCUCUCAAGUAUGAAAGUAUGAAAAUGUGUACUGCUAUGAUGAUGACAAUAUCAACAGCAUGAUGUGCUUAUGUUUGCUAGAGGGGCGGGGGGAGGAUGGNNNNNNNNNNNNNNNNNNNNNNNNNNNNNNNNNNNNNNNNNNNNNNNNNNNNNNNAAAAAAAAAAAAAAGGUUACUGGUUGAUUUGCUAUUUUUUGGUGCUUCCAUCCUAAAUGGUUGGUGUUAAUGGGUUUUGGGUGCAGCAAUUUGGUGGAUGUUGAAGUAUUGAAGUAAUUGGCUUUACAAAGUCUUGGAUCCUAGGAGAGCGGGAAAGCUGGAAGGAGGAGAAAAACGUAUAUAUCCGUAAUUUUACAAAAUCCUGGAUCUUGGGAGAGCGAGAGAGCUGGAUUUGAGCCGAUGGCUUCAUUUUAUAAAGCCAUUGAAGGAUCUAGUUGCCAAGGUUUCGCCCAACUUCAAUAUCCCUUUCUUGUAUCUUGCAAUGAAUUGUGAGUGCAACAUCAAAUGCAGCUCCCUAGCUUUGCAUAGUCCUUUGGAUUUAAGACGUUAGACUUUCAUACUUCGUUCUUUGAUUCUAUGCUAUAUUGACCUGCUACAAAUACCUUGAUGCACAUUUAUGUAUGUUUUGUCUUGAAUGCUUCCAUUUGUUUGCUUAGUAUGUUGAUGCCCAUUUGUGCUCCUUCUACAGCCAAUUAUUUUUCUGCUCCUUCUACAGCCAAUUAUUUUUGCCCUGGUAUAUGUUGGGACAACUCUGAAGGAUCCCUCUGAUGUAACACAUGGAUGGGGUAA
rnacentral:sRNA from 1 species